GCACGGCACCUUGCGGCGCUACUUGCACGAGGCCUCUCCGUCAGUUGCCAAAAGCCAUCAACCGCCACGAGCGAUGCCAAACACAACUCACAACAACCGAUGGCAAUCGGAACGUACUGAGUUUAGCCCCAUGCGCACGGCACCUUGCGGCGCUACUUGCACGAGACCUCGCCGUUCAGUUGCCAAAAGCCAUCAGCUGCCACGAGCGAUGUCGCCUCCCGAUUUUGCCCGCAACAACUGAUGGCAUUCGGAACAUACUAAGCUUAGCCCCAUGACGUAUGGCACCUUGCGGCGCUACUUGCACGACGCUCCGCCGUUCCGUUGCCAAAAGCCAUCGGCCGCCACAAGCGAUGCCCACCACCAGACGUACUACGAGCACACACGAGUACUUGCUGACACGCGUUGACGAACAUCUGGGACGUAGCACGGACAAGCCGUGCAUGCCCCCAAUGCCCACGCCGCAUGCCAGCGUCCCCCGUGCAUGCCCGCCUCGGCCAGGCAGCAAGCACCUUGAGGUGCC
rnacentral:lncRNA from 1 species